rnacentral:misc_RNA from 1 species
UCCGGUUUGACACCGGCAGUCUCGUUAGAGUCCCCAGCAUUACCUGUUGGCAACUAACGAUAGGGGUUUCGCUCGUUAAGGGACUUAACCCGACACUUCACAGCACGAGCUGACGACAGCCAUGCAGCACCUGUGCACGUUCCACCCAAAGGGCGUCACUCCUGUUUCUAGGAGCUAAUCCGUGCAUGUCAAACCCAGGAUAAGGUUCUUCGCGUUGCUUCGAAUUAAGCCACAUGCUCCACCGCUUGUGUGAGCCCCCGUCAAUUCCUUUGAGUUUUAGCCUUGCGACCGUACUCCCCAGGCGGCGUACUUAACACUUUUGCUUCGGCACGGAUGGUGUCAGAACCUCCCGUACCUAGUACGCAUCGUUUACGGCGUGGACUAC